rnacentral:rRNA from 1 species
UGGGGAAUUUUCCGCAAUGGACGCAAGUCUGACGGGGCGACGCCGCGUGUAGGAUGAAGGCCUUCGGGUUGUAAACUACUGUUGAGUGUGAGGAAAGUCACGGGGUUAAUAGCCUUCGUGGUUGACCAGCAUUCGAGGAAGCACUGGCUAACUCCGUGCCAGCAGCCGCGGUAAUACGGAGAGUGCAAGCGUUACUCGGAAUCACUGGGCAUAAAGAGCACGUAGGCGGAAUGGUGUGUCGGUGGUGAAAGCCCUCUGCUCAACGGAGGAAUUGCCGUCGAAACUGCCAUUCUCGAGUGCGAGAGGGGAGAGGAGAACUUCCGGUGGAGCGGUGAAAUGCGUAGAUAUCGGAAGGAAUACCGGUGGCGAAAGCGCCUCUCUGGCUCGCAACUGACGCUGAGGUGCGAAAGCGUGGGUAGCAAACGGGAUUAGAUACCCCUGUAGUCC